ACCUGGAUGCGGCUCAGAGGUAGAACAUCUGGUUUGCAUGCAGAAGGUCCCAGGUUCAAUCCCUGGCAUCUUGGGGUA